AAUGAACGCUGGCGGCGCGCCUAAUACAUGCAAGUCGAGCGAGAAGACGUAGCAAUACGUUUGUAAAGCGGCGUAACGGGUGAGGAAUACAUGGGUAACCUACCCUCGAGUGGGGAAUAACUAGCCGAAAGGUUAGCUAAUACCGCGUACGCUCCUUGGACUUCGGUUCAGGGAGGAAAGCGAUACCGUGGGUAUCGCGCUCUUGGUUGGGCUCAUGUCCUAUCAGCUUGUUGGGAGGUAACGGCUCACCAAGGCUUCGACGGGUAGCUGGUCUGAGAGGACGAUCAGCCACACUGGCACUGCGACACGGGCCAGACUCCUACGGGAGGCAGCAGUAAGGAAUAUUGCGCAAUGGGCGAAAGCCUGACGCAGCGACGCCGCGUGGGGGAUGAAGGUCUUCGGAUUGUAAACCCCUUUCGGGAGGGAAGAUGGAACGAGCAAUCGUUCGGACGGUACCUCCAGAAGCAGCCACGGCUAACUUCGUGCCAGCCGCCGCGGU
rnacentral:rRNA from 1 species